CGCUGCUGCCGGGGCUCGCGGCCGCCGAGCCCCCGAGGGCGCGCCCUGACGGACUGGCCGAGCCGGCGGUGAGAGGCCGGCGCGUCGGGAGCGGGCCGCGCGGCACCAUGUCGGCCAAGGUGCGGCUCAAGAAGCUGGAGCAGCUGCUCCUGGACGGGCCCUGGCGCAACGAGAGCGCCCUGAGCGUGGAAACGCUGCUCGACGUGCUCGUCUGCCUGUACACCGAGUGCAGCCACUCGGCCCUGCGCCGCGACAAGUACGUGGCCGAGUUCCUCGAGUGGGCUAAACCAUUUACACAGCUGGUGAAAGAAAUGCAGCUUCAUCGAGAAGACUUUGAAAUAAUUAAAGUAAUUGGAAGAGGUGCUUUUGGUGAGGUUGCUGUUGUCAAAAUGAAGAAUACUGAACGAAUUUAUGCAAUGAAAAUCCUCAACAAGUGGGAGAUGCUGAAAAGAGCAGAGACCGCGUGCUUCCGGGAGGAGCGCGAUGUGCUGGUGAACGGCGACUGCCAGUGGAUCACCGCGCUGCACUACGCCUUUCAGGACGAGAACCACCUGUACUUAGUCAUGGAUUACUAUGUGGGUGGUGAUUUACUGACCCUGCUCAGCAAAUUUGAAGACAAGCUUCCGGAAGAUAUGGCGAGGUUCUACAUUGGUGAAAUGGUGCUGGCCAUUGACUCCAUCCAUCAGCUUCAUUACGUGCACAGAGACAUUAAACCUGACAAUGUCCUUUUGGACGUGAAUGGUCAUAUCCGCCUGGCUGACUUUGGAUCAUGUUUGAAGAUGAAUGAUGAUGGCACUGUGCAGUCCUCCGUGGCCGUGGGCACACCUGACUACAUCUCGCCGGAGAUCCUGCAGGCGAUGGAGGACGGCAUGGGCAAAUACGGGCCUGAGUGUGACUGGUGGUCUCUGGGUGUCUGCAUGUAUGAGAUGCUCUAUGGAGAAACGCCGUUUUAUGCGGAGUCACUCGUGGAGACCUAUGGGAAGAUCAUGAACCAUGAAGAGCGAUUCCAGUUCCCAUCCCAUGUCACGGAUGUAUCUGAAGAAGCGAAGGACCUCAUCCAGAGACUGAUCUGCAGUAGAGAGCGCCGGCUGGGGCAGAAUGGAAUAGAGGAUUUCAAAAAGCAUGCGUUUUUUGAAGGUCUAAAUUGGGAAAAUAUACGAAACCUAGAAGCACCUUAUAUUCCUGAUGUGAGCAGUCCCUCUGACACAUCCAACUUCGACGUGGAUGACGACGUGCUGAGAAACACGGAAAUAUUACCUCCUGGUUCUCACACAGGCUUUUCUGGAUUACAUUUGCCAUUCAUUGGUUUUACAUUCACAACGGAAAGCUGUUUUUCUGAUCGAGGCUCUCUGAAGAGCAUAAUGCAGUCCAACACAUUAACCAAAGAUGAGGAUGUGCAGCGGGACCUGGAGCACAGCCUGCAGAUGGAAGCUUACGAGAGGAGGAUUCGGAGGCUGGAACAGGAGAAGCUGGAGCUGAGCAGGAAGCUGCAAGAGUCCACCCAGACCGUGCAGUCCCUCCACGGCUCAUCUCGGGCCCUCAGCAAUUCAAACCGAGAUAAAGAAAUCAAAAAGCUAAAUGAAGAAAUCGAACGCUUGAAGAAUAAAAUAGCAGAUUCAAACAGGCUCGAGCGACAGCUUGAGGACACAGUGGCGCUUCGCCAAGAGCGUGAGGACUCCACGCAGCGGCUGCGGGGGCUGGAGAAGCAGCACCGCGUGGUCCGGCAGGAGAAGGAGGAGCUGCACAAGCAACUGGUUGAAGCCUCAGAGCGGUUGAAAUCCCAGGCCAAGGAACUCAAAGAUGCCCAUCAGCAGCGAAAGCUGGCCCUGCAGGAGUUCUCGGAGCUGAACGAGCGCAUGGCAGAGCUCCGCGCCCAGAAGCAGAAGGUGUCCCGGCAGCUGCGAGACAAGGAGGAGGAGAUGGAGGUGGCCACGCAGAAGGUGGACGCCAUGCGGCAGGAAAUGCGGAGAGCUGAGAAGCUCAGGAAAGAGCUGGAAGCUCAGCUUGAUGAUGCUGUUGCUGAGGCCUCCAAGGAGCGCAAGCUUCGUGAGCACAGCGAGAACUUCUGCAAGCAAAUGGAAAGCGAGCUGGAGGCCCUCAAGGUGAAGCAAGGAGGCCGGGGAGCGGGUGCCACCUUAGAGCACCAGCAAGAGAUUUCCAAAAUCAAAUCCGAGCUGGAGAAGAAAGUCUUAUUUUAUGAAGAGGAAUUGGUCAGACGUGAGGCCUCCCAUGUGCUAGAAGUGAAAAAUGUGAAGAAGGAGGUGCAUGAUUCGGAAAGCCACCAGCUGGCCCUGCAGAAAGAAAUCUUGAUGUUAAAAGAUAAGUUAGAAAAGUCAAAGCGAGAACGGCAUAACGAGAUGGAGGAGGCAGUAGGUACAAUAAAAGAUAAAUACGAACGAGAAAGAGCGAUGCUGUUUGAUGAAAACAAGAAGCUAACUGCUGAAAAUGAAAAGCUCUGUUCCUUUGUGGAUAAACUCACAGCUCAAAAUAGACAGCUGGAGGAUGAGCUGCAGGAUCUGGCAGCCAAGAAGGAGUCAGUGGCCCACUGGGAAGCUCAGAUUGCGGAAAUCAUUCAGUGGGUCAGUGACGAGAAAGAUGCCCGGGGUUACCUUCAAGCUCUUGCUUCCAAGAUGACCGAAGAGCUCGAGGCUUUGAGGAGUUCUAGUCUGGGGUCAAGAACACUGGACCCGCUGUGGAAGGUGCGCCGCAGCCAGAAGCUGGACAUGUCCGCGCGGCUGGAGCUGCAGUCGGCCCUGGAGGCGGAGAUCCGGGCCAAGCAGCUUGUCCAGGAGGAGCUCAGGAAGGUCAAGGAUGCCAACCUCACCUUGGAAAGCAAACUAAAGGAUUCCGAAGCCAAAAACAGAGAAUUAUUAGAAGAAAUGGAAAUUUUGAAGAAAAAGAUGGAAGAAAAAUUCAGAGCAGAUACUGGGCUCAAACUUCCAGAUUUUCAGGAUUCCAUUUUUGAGUAUUUCAACACUGCUCCUCUUGCACAUGACCUGACAUUUAGAGACUCUCUCUCCUCCUCGUCUGCAUCUUCCCUGCUAGCCUUUUGGGAAGAAACCAGCUCAGCUAGUGAGCAAGAAACACAAGCUCCGAAGCCAGAAGCGUCCCCGUCGAUGUCUGUGGCUGCAUCAGAGCAGCAGGAGGACAUGGCUCGGCCCCCGCAGAGGCCAUCCGCUGUGCCGUUGCCCACCACGCAGGCCCUGGCUCUGGCUGGACCGAAGCCAAAAGCUCACCAGUUCAGCAUCAAGUCCUUCUCCAGCCCUACUCAGUGCAGCCACUGCACCUCCCUGAUGGUUGGGCUGAUCCGGCAGGGCUACGCCUGCGAGGUGUGUUCCUUUGCUUGCCACGUGUCCUGCAAAGACAGUGCCCCCCAGGUGUGCCCAAUACCUCCCGAGCAGUCCAAGAGGCCUCUGGGCGUGGACGUGCAGCGAGGCAUCGGAACAGCCUACAAAGGCCAUGUCAAGGUCCCAAAGCCCACGGGGGUGAAGAAGGGAUGGCAGCGCGCAUAUGCGGUCGUCUGUGACUGCAAGCUCUUCCUGUAUGAUCUGCCUGAAGGAAAAUCCACCCAGCCUGGUGUCAUUGCAAGCCAAGUCUUGGAUCUCAGAGAUGACGAGUUUUCCGUGAGCUCAGUCCUGGCCUCAGAUGUCAUUCAUGCUACACGCCGAGAUAUUCCAUGUAUAUUCAGGGUGACGGCCUCUCUCUUAGGUGCACCUUCUAAGACCAGCUCGCUGCUCAUUCUGACAGAAAAUGAGAAUGAAAAGAGGAAGUGGGUUGGGAUUCUAGAAGGACUCCAGUCCAUCCUUCAUAAAAACCGGCUGAGGAAUCAGGUCGUGCAUGUUCCCUUGGAAGCCUACGACAGCUCGCUGCCUCUCAUCAAGGCCAUCCUGACAGCUGCCAUCGUGGAUGCAGACAGGAUUGCAGUCGGCCUAGAAGAAGGGCUCUAUGUAAUAGAGGUCACCCGAGAUGUGAUCGUCCGUGCCGCUGACUGUAAGAAGGUACACCAGAUCGAGCUUGCUCCCAGGGAGAAGAUCGUAAUCCUCCUCUGUGGCCGGAACCACCAUGUGCACCUCUAUCCGUGGUCGUCCCUUGAUGGAGCGGAAGGCAGCUUUGACAUCAAGCUUCCGGAAACCAAAGGCUGCCAGCUCAUGGCCACGGCCACACUCAAGAGGAACUCUGGCACCUGCCUGUUUGUGGCCGUGAAACGGCUGAUCCUUUGCUAUGAGAUCCAGAGAACGAAGCCAUUCCACAGAAAGUUCAAUGAGAUUGUGGCUCCCGGCAGCGUGCAGUGCCUGGCGGUGCUCAGGGACAGGCUCUGUGUGGGCUACCCUUCUGGGUUCUGCCUGCUGAGCAUCCAGGGGGACGGGCAGCCUCUAAACCUGGUAAAUCCCAAUGACCCCUCGCUUGCGUUCCUCUCACAACAGUCUUUUGAUGCCCUUUGUGCUGUGGAGCUCGAAAGCGAGGAGUACCUGCUUUGCUUCAGCCACAUGGGACUGUACGUGGACCCGCAAGGCCGGAGGGCACGCGCGCAGGAGCUCAUGUGGCCUGCGGCUCCUGUCGCCUGUAAAGAAAAGUCCUGAUCUUGUAGCCUGUUUGGAGUCUGUGAUAGAAACAGAGCAGAAGGCUUUUAAAAUGCAUCUUCAGACAGUGAGGUGUGUCCUGAUGCAGGAUUAACCUUGAACUCCGGAGGCAGAAGAGCCAGGAAGGAGCACUGAGCUGGAGCUCUCUUGCAUUUGGGGCUUGCCGCCUCCCAGCUCUGCGUUUCUGCAAGCUGAUGGCCAGGAGCCAAGCCACGCUGAGGGGCUGUGGGGGCAGUGAGCGUGCCACCCACGCAGAGGGACUGAGCGGAAGACGCACCCCGCUCCCCCGUCGUGUGGCACAGCUGUGUCACUGCUCUUCUAAACGUGGAGAAAGCCCCUUAAACUCCAAAUGGCCAAAGGCUUCGCAGUCCUUGGUCUCACAUCCGUGGCACCUUGGGUGGAGUUGCUUCUGUAAGCCAACAGAUGAGCAGAUGAAUUCCAGAGUGGGAACAUGAAGUCUUUGGUGACGUGAACCAGCUGAGGGCAGUGCUGCCGCCUCUGCACUUGUUCAAGUGCCAGGGCUUGGCCUCCGGCCCGAGGGCAGGUGAGUUCCUGAGCCACUGUGGCUCACCCCGCCCUGCUCCGUCUGCGCUAGGUUGCAGCCCCACCCACGUCACGGUGUACAGCGAGUAUGGCGUGGACGUCUUUGAUGUGCGCACCAUGGAGUGGGUGCAGACCAUCGGCCUGCGGAGGAUAAGGCCCCUGAACUCUGAAGGCACCCUCAACCUCCUCAACUGCGAGCCUCCACGCUUGAUCUACUUCAAGAGCAAGUUCUCGGGAGCGGUUCUCAACGUGCCGGACACCUCCGACAACAGCAAGAAGCAGAUGCUGCGCACCAGGAGCAAAAGGCGGUUCGUCUUCAAGGUCCCAGAGGAAGAGAGACUGCAGCAGAGGCGAGAGAUGCUUAGAGACCCAGAAUUGAGAUCCAAAAUGAUAUCCAACCCAACCAACUUCAACCACGUGGCCCACAUGGGCCCAGGCGACGGCAUGCAGGUGCUCAUGGACCUGCCUCUGAGUGCUGUGCCCCCCUCCCAGGAGGAAAGGCCGGGCCCCGCUCCCACCAACCUGGCUCGCCAGCCUCCAUCCAGGAACAAGCCCUACAUCUCGUGGCCCUCAUCAGGUGGAUCGGAGCCUGGCGUGACUGUGCCUCUGAGAAGUAUGUCUGAUCCAGACCAGGACUUUGACAAAGAGCCUGAUUCGGACUCCACCAAACACUCAACUCCAUCGAAUAGCUCCAACCCCAGCGGCCCACCGAGCCCCAACUCCCCCCACAGGAGCCAGCUCCCCCUCGAAGGCCUGGAGCAGCCGGCCUGUGACACCUGAAGCCGCCAGCUCGCCACAGGGGCCAGGAUGCUGGGGAUGGCCUCCAGCGUCAGUGCCAAGACUGAGCGGGCCCUCCAGUGUUGUCCAAGGAAAUGUAGAAUCACUUUGUAGAUAUGGAGAUGAAGAAGACAAAUCUUUAUUAUAAUAUUGAUCAGUUUUAUGCCGCAUUGUUCGUGGCAGUAGACCACAUCUGUUCGUCUGCACAGCUGUGAGGCGACGCUGUUCCAUCUGCACAUGAAGGACCCCCAUACAGCCUGUCUCCCACCCCUGACAACCCGAGAGGGCAUAUGGGGCCCUGCCAACGCCACUUCCUCAGCAGAAACCCGUCAUGACGCGGCUGCUUCGGAAGCAGACAUCUGGGGACACAGCCUCAGUACCCAGUCUUUUCCCUAGUUCCUGAAACUUUCCUAGGACCUUAGGAGAAUAGUAGGAGGUCCUAUAGCAUUCCCAGUGUCACUAGAAUUUUGAAGACAGGAAAGGGGAGGUUAGUCUGUGGCCUUUUUUUCAUUUAGCCAUGGCAUAGUCAGCUGCAGAAGUCCUGCUGACCACCUAGUCAUGGACAAAGGCCCAGGACCAGUGACACCCUGCGUCCCUGUGUGCGUUAAGUUCAUUCUGGGUCGCAGCCAUGAAGUGUCACCAGUAUCUACUACUGUGAAGUCAGCUGUGCUGUUUUCCAUUCGCUUCCACGGCUUCUGCCUCCUGCCAUAAAACCAGCGAGUAUCGUGGUGCAGGCAGGCCCUGUGGCCUGCUGGGCUGAGGGAAGUCAGAGCCCCAGGGCGCCACGAAGCAGCCACUGGGAUACCCCACCCCGCCCUGCCCGCCCCCCCCACCAGUCCUGCCCCCGCAUGGAGCCCCCGUGAUUAGUAGCCCGUAUGAUCACGUAGACCCACCCAACACACUCCUGCACACUGGCCCCGGCCCACGGCACGGCAAUCCCCUGCGCGUGGAUUUCACCUCACCCUUCUUUGUACCAGAUGUUGAGUGACCAGCUCUGUGGCCCUGUGUCGUCAGAGGCUUGUGAUUAACUGUGGCGGCAGACACAGCUUGUCCACAGCUUGGGCCAGGCUUCCCCUGUCCUCCCACCACCGGUCGGCUGCUUGGCAAGGCUGUUCAGGACGUGCACUUCCCCAAGUCGGCACUGAGUGGCCCAGCACCGCCUAGCCCUGCCACCCCACUGCCCUCCUGGGCCUUCUGCUGGAUGGGCACCUGGGGGGGUUCUCGUUUUUACUUUUUUAAUGUAAGUCUCAGUCUUUGUAAUUAUUGAAUUGUGAGAACAUUUUUGAACAAUUUACCUGUCAAUAAAGCAGAAGACGGCAGUUUUAAAGUU